GUCCACGCUGUAAACGAUGGGCACUAGGUGUCCGGGUAUUGACCCCUGGGUGCCGCAGCUAACGCAUUAAGUGCCCCGCCUGGGGAGUACGGUCGCAAGAUUAAACUCAAAGGAAUUGACGGGGCCCGCACAAGCGGUGGAGCAUGUGGUUCAAUUCGACGCAACGCGAAGAACCUUACCUGGACUAGACAACAGUGGACCGUCCUAGAAAUAGGAUUUUCCCUCGGGACCGCUGGUUCAGGUGCUGCAUGGCUGUCGU
rnacentral:rRNA from 1 species